UCCUAGCGAGUUGCAAAGCUUCAUAGCUAUUGGCCUAGAGUCUUUCUCACUUAGAUGCCCCCACCGGAGAGCCCCACAUAGGUAGGCUCUGCCUACCCAAUUGUGACAUAUUUGGGUCACAAUGUUAACCAUUAUUAUUAGCGUAUCCAAUGACUACAACAGACUGCAGUGCAAGGGCAGUCAGACUGCCUCAGACACAACACCCAGAAAUCUUCUAAAGCAGCUGUUGAUGUGUCGGCACGAGGCAACUCACGGAGGCAUACCAAGUACCUAUGACAAGUAAGACCGGAGGAGAGGACCAGACAGCAGGGAAACCCCCUACAAAUUAGAAAGCCGAUGAAGAUGAUUAAAUGACCCUGCGUAUAGUGCGGUUAGACACUAUAACUCCGGUUCUGCAGCAUCUCACCACACAGGAAACAUGUCUCCACUGGCAACCACGUGAGCUGGGGAUUGUUUAUUUACUGCGUCUGUCUGCUGAGAAUAAACUACGCCUCAGGGACUCCUGUGUUCCAGGCUACCUUGUAGUUCAUCAGCCACAGGCAUGAGCCCGAACUGAACUUUAAGAAAUAAGUUUGAUCAGCACCUUGCUUCCCUUUGGCUUGGCUUCUGUGAUAACCCACGAGGCCAAGACUCAGCCUAAAGCCAGUGAGAUGAGAAGAAUUGCUCUGUCACAUUUUGGAGAAGGGUGUCUGCUGCUUCCAGCCAGACCACGCCCCCAACCUCCAACCCCUGCAAGACAGACAUCUAUACACUGCCAGCAUUAUCUUGUGACCAUAAGGAAAGAUAUCCCUGGAGGAAAGCAGUCACAACAGACACAGACGAGAGAGGCAGAGAUAAGCAAAAGCGUUGGCGAGCCACUGGCCACCUGACCCACCUCUGUAACGUCUCAGUUGCCUAAGCUAAUAAAGACCUUACUGUUUUAGCUAACUGCGGAUCCGUUUUGGGUUACGGUCAUAUGAUAAAGUCAAAAAUCACUGAACUGAGUAAGCGAGCAGUGACUUCUGCAGAAAGCAGGGGAGAAUCAAAGCUACUUUCAGGCUACUGGGUCACCUCUGUUCCUUUCAGCCUCCCUGAGCUCUCUCUGUCAUUCACUUUCGCUCAGUGCAUGCUAAUAUCUUCAAGCCAGUGCCC
rnacentral:lncRNA from 1 species